rnacentral:rRNA from 1 species
AUUGAACGCUGGCGGCAUGCUUUACACAUGCAAGUCGAACGGCAGCACGGGUGCUUGCACCUGGUGGCGAGUGGCGGACGGGUGAGUAAUACAUCGGAACGUGUCCAGAAGAGGGGGAUAACGCAUCGAAAGAUGUGCUAAUACCGCAUAUGCUCUGAGGAGGAAAGUGGGGGAUCGAAAGACCUUACGCUUUUUGGAGCGGCCGAUGUCUGAUUAGCUAGUUGGUGGGGUAAGGGCCUACCAAGGCGACGAUCAGUAGUUGGUCUGAGAGGACGACCAGCCACACUGGGACUGAGACACGGCCCAGACUCCUACGGGAGGCAGCAGUGGGGAAUUUUGGACAAUGGGCGCGAGCCUGAUCCAGCAAUGCCGCGUGAGUGAAGAAGGCCUCGGUUGUAAGUACUCUUUCUAGUCGAGAAGAAAGGACGUAGCGGUGAAGUAACUAGUAGUUUAUUGUACGGUA